GAUGAACGCUGGCGGCGUGCCUAAUACAUGCAAGUCGAACGCACUGAUUAAUCAGUGAGUGGCGAACGGGUGAGUAAUACAUAAGUAACCUGGCCUUGUGAGGGGGAUAACUGCUGGAAACGGCAGCUAAGACCGCAUAGGCAGAGGGGUCGCGUGACCUCACUGUUAAAUAUCCCACGGGAUAGCAGAAGGAUGGACUUAUGGCGCAUUAGCUAGUUGGUGAGGUAGAGGCUCACCAAGGCGACGAUGCGUAGCCGACCUGAGAGGGUGGACGGCCACACUGGGACUGAGACACGGCCCAGACUCCUACGGGAGGCAGCAGUAGGGAAUUUUCGGCAAUGGGCGAAAGCCUGACCGAGCAACGCCGCGUGAGGGAGGAAGUACUUCGGUAUGUAAACCUCUGUUAUAAAGGAAGAACGGCAUAUGUAGGGAA
rnacentral:rRNA from 1 species